rnacentral:rRNA from 1 species
UUCCCUACGGGAGGCAGCAGUGGGGAAUAUUGGGCAAUGGGCGCAAGCCUGACCCAGCAACGCCGCGUGAAGGAAGAAGGCUUUCGGGUUGUAAACUUCUUUUCUCAGGGACGAAGCAAGUGACGGUACCUGAGGAAUAAGCCACGGCUAACUACGUGCCAGCAGCCGCGGUAAUACGUAGGUGGCAAGCGUUAUCCGGAUUUACUGGGUGUAAAGGGCGUGUAGGCGGGGACGCAAGUCAGGUGUGAAAACCACGGGCUCAACCUGUGGCCUGCAUUUGAAACUGUGUUUCUU